GGCCAGACUCCUACGGGAGGCAGCAGUAGGGAAUUUUGCGCAAUGGGGGAAACCCUGACGCAGCAACGCCGCGUGAUUGAUGAAGCCCUUCGGGGUGUAAAGAUCUGUCAGUGGGGACGAAACUUGACGGUACCCACAGAGGAAGCAUCGGCUAACUCCGUGCCAGCAGCCGCGGUAAUACGGGGGAUGCAAGCGUUGUCCGGAAUCAUUGGGCGUAAAGAGUUCGUAGGUGGCACGUUAAGUCUGGUGUUAAAUGCGGAGGCUCAACCUCUGUUCGGCACUGGAUACUGGCGAGCUUGAAUGCGGUAGAGGUAAAGGGAAUUCCUGGUGUAGCGGUGAAAUGCGUAGAUAUCAGGAGGAACACCAGUGGCGAAGGCGGCCUGCUGGACGAUGACUGACGUUGAGGCUCGAAAGCGUGGGGAGCAAACAGGAUUAGAUACCCGAGUA
rnacentral:rRNA from 1 species